UGGGGAAUCUUGCGCAAUGGGCGAAAGCCUGAUCCAGCAAUGCCGCGUGAGUGAUGAAGGCCUUAGGGUUGUAAAGCUCUUUUACCAGGGAUGAUAAUGACAGUACCUGGAGAAUAAGCUCCGGCUAACUCCGUGCCAGCAGCCGCGGUAAUACGGAGGGAGCUAGCGUUGUUCGGAAUUACUGGGCGUAAAGCGUACGUAGGCGGUGACUCAAGUCAGAGGUGAAAGCCUGGAGCUCAACUCCAGAACUGCCUUUGAAACUAGGUCGCUAGAAUCACGGAGAGGUGAGUGGAAUUCCGAGUGUAGAGGUGAAAUUCGUAGAUAUUCGGAAGAACACCAGUGGCGAAGGCGGCUCACUGGACGUGUAUUGACGCUGAGGUACGAAAGCGUGGGGAGCAAACAGGAUUAGAUACCCCAGUAGUCCCUGAGCGGGCUGGCAAGGCGCAU
rnacentral:rRNA from 1 species